rnacentral:rRNA from 1 species
UACGUAGGGUGCGAGCGUUAAUCGGGAAUUACUGGGCGUAAAGCGUGCGUAGGCGGUUCGCUGUGUCCGAUGUGAAAGCCCCGGGCUUAACCUGGGAAUGGCAUGGAACUGCGGGCUUGAGUGCGGGCAGAGGGGGUGGAAUUCGCGUGUAGCAGUGAAAUGCGUAGAGAUGCGGAGGAACACCGAUGGCGAAGGCAGCCCCCUGGGUCGACACUGACGCUCGAGGCACGAAAGCGUGGGGAGCAA